rnacentral:lncRNA from 1 species
AGUUUCACUUUCAGAUAAUUUUUUUUACUUUUUUAAAUUUUUUAGGGUAGGAACCCUCUUCACGAAUUGUGUAAAUAUGGAAAAGAUAAUGCAGCCACCAUUUGCGGACUGUUGUUAGAAUGCAUUCCUACGUAUCCAAUAAAUAAUCCAGACAUUUUGGGUAAUUCACCUCUCCUUCUGGCAUAUAUAAAUGGAAACGGAAGCCUUUGCAGAGUUUUAGUCAAGGCGAACGCUUGUUUGUCUUCCGAAAAUUCAGAAAGAGUGACUAUAUUUAAUUACCAGGUUCCAACAAAGCAGCUUUUGAACCGCCUUCUAGACACAUUAUCGGAACCAGCGCCAUGGACAAACACAGAUUCCUGCCAAGAGUGUGGUAAAAGAUUUACCCUUACAGUUCGCACCCACCAUUGUCGCCAUUGCGGACGAGCACUCUGUAGCAAGUGUUCGGAUACGGAAGUGCCGAUUAUAAAAUUUGGCGAGAACAAACCAGUUAGGGUCUGUAAAGUCUGUUUUGAUGUAUUGAAGACUGGAGCUAGUUAAUUAUUAAGAUAUUGUUCAGGAUAUAAAAUUUUAUAAUAAAAAAAUAUUUGCUGUUAUUUAUAAUGUUAUUAUUAUAUAAUAAUAAUGUUAUUAUCUAUUUAAUACAAUAUUAUUCGGUAAAAAUAGAAGUGAUUCAAUUACAUAAAAUAAAACUCGUCAGUUCAGAUCAUUCGUUUAUUUAUCUAAGCUGCUUUAUUUCACACUAUUUGUGGAAAACGUUGUGGUUGAAAUAUAAGCCUAGGUAUUAUACAGUAAGCGGCACGCUAGACGCUAAUAGAUACAUGGGUACCUAAUUCCUAGGCUUGCGCUAAUCCGGCCCGUUCUCACCUAUGUCGUGUGACUGUCAUAAAACUAUUCAAAGUAAUUGUUUUUCCAUGCAAAAAUACGUUAAAUAAUAGCAUUGUUAAUCUGCUUAAAAAAAACUUUAAUUUACCAACUAAUUUACUAAUUUAAACACCUACAAUAUUACAGUACUUCAUAACUUUUACAACUUUAACACAAUGACAACUACAGUACGUAAAAUGAAAGAUUACCCAUGAGCGAUCUUAUUAAACAGAUCUUUUCUAUGUUCCAGAAAGUCAUGAACCAGUACCAGUAUUAUAAGAACAGUUUAUAUAAUUAUUACAUGUACUUGCGCUGGCCAAUUGUUUUUUUUUGUGAUACGGUCACACUUUUUACUUUACUUUAUCGUGUCCGGACAUGUCAUUCAUAAAAUUUCGGCCCAGUAUCGGGUCACUAGAGCGACCCAUUUCUUAUCCUAUUCAUAGUUUUCCAAGUUUAGAGACUGGCCGGUCCAUUAAACCUGAGGAAGAGGAAAAUACUCAGGCGGUUCAUCCUGCACUGUUCCAAGGAAGCUUUUCCUGGAUUUUAGUCGCUUUCAGGGUGUUCGAGCUUUGUAUAAGGCAUGCCGCUCGUCCGCAAUCUGUUUAAUUUGCUCAUGUGCUCUGCAACGCCUCUGAGUGUUGAGGGUUCUGCAAAACCCGCUGCUUUAUAUAGGUUUGAGAGUGGCGUUGGUUUCAUCCACCCUGUUACUAUCCUGCAUGUUUCAUUUAGCGCAGUAUUAACUUGUUUAGCGUGAGCAGAUCUGCCCCCAAACUGGGCACGCAUAUUCAGCAGUUGAAAAACACAGUGCCUGUGCCGUUGUUCUUAAGACGCCAGAACAUGCACCCCAUUUACUUCCCGUUAGCUUUCCGAAUAUGCUGUUCCUAGUUGUUACUUUCCCUCUCGUUUUAUGCAAUGUUGUCUAGGUCAGGGACCGGUCCAGAGUUACUCCAAGAUAUAUAGGUUGGUCUGUGUGCUCUAGUAUAUUACCAUUCCACACAAUUUGGAGUUUUCGCUUGGCUUUGCCUAUUAAAUCGCCUUCUGAAUGGAAUAGUUUGUGGUCUGACAAUUGGAAAGAUGUUUAUACCAAUUGGUCUAAGCUGAGUUUUUGGUAAGGGGCCAUAUACUACUUUGGUACAUCAGUCUUUGAGGUUAUUACUUGAAAAACAGAUAUCCGGGUUAUAUCCCCCUUUUAAAAUUUUGCUCUGAAAAGAUGGUGGAAGUUUAGGAUCAUGGAUUAGCGUGAAGUCACUCGUUUCAGCCCAUGCUUCUACUGCGUCUCCAUUUGCAUUCGAAUUUGCAUAGCCCCAGAGUAAACUGUGACUGUUAAAGUCUCCCAGUAUAAGCUGACUCGGUUGUGAUUGGAAGUUGUUAAUUGGGGGUGAAAAUAUAAAAGGCUCGUUUGGGGGCUUGUAUACCGAGGUUAUUGUGCAUUUUCCGAUCUCAAUGGUUAUUACCUCUAUACCGUUUACAUUUGUUGUUCCCACAGAUGAGACUAUGGUUUGACUUAUCACAAAUAUCGGGCUCCCAUGUUUAUUGUGUGGUAUCUCUGCAAACAGUUUCAUACCUGAGAUUUUCGGUCUCGCUGCAGUUAGGUCUCUGGGUUUCCUGGAUGCAAAAUACCUCAUAUUUCGUGUUUUUGCAGAAUUCUGAUAAGAUGUCUUGCAUGCUCGCUACCGUCAGUGUUGGCUCUGAGAAGAACCGUUGUGGCUUGAUGUUUGCCAUCUGAUUUGGUUUGGUCCGGUGUUGGAAGGAUUAGCCGUCUACUAGUAGACGUUUCCAAGGGACGCCGUCAAUAGUGUUUACUGUUUUUUAGUUGAUGUGGCACUAUUGAUCUCGCAGAGGCUACUUCCGUGUCCCCGAUACGGUCACAGGAAAAUGCAGCGUGUUUUAUAUGUUUAUUCAUGGGUAAUCUUUCAUUUUUCCCACUAUAUAAACUUCAAAAACAACUGUUCUAUAAACUAUCAACUUUAUAUGUUUAUAUUGGUUUCUAUAUAUUUUCUGACAUUCUAAACGUGACUAGACAUAAAAGUAAACAUUGCAACAAGUGAAGGGUCCAGGACUGUAUUAGGUCAAUGUGUGUCUAGCAGCGUGGCGGUUACUGUAUAUGUUACGGACAAUAAUGGAGAUUGGACAUUGACGCUACAGACCGGGAAUUGUCGUGAAUGCCCAUUUUCGACAAUAACAUUAACUAUUGUGUCGUGUUGGUCCUUUGGCCAAUGUAAAAAAAUAACUUAAAAGUGAUGUUUUCAUACAUAACUGGUCAAUGACGACAGUGGCCAAUGUUAAUAAAUAAAUAAAAUUAUCCAUGAUGUAUUAUUUUUUAUUUAAAACAGCCUUUGAAGACUAAUCAAUUUUAUUUUGACAAGAUAGUGAACGACAUGCAUACUUAUUAUUUUUACAACCACCGUUGCAUUGUCAACGCUUGUGUCCUUGGCUUCUUAAUAUGCUAUUUUCCGCUGCAGCUUCUCUGAGAGUUAUUUCUUUCUCUUUUAUUGAAUCAUUUAUAUUUUUCAAUAAAACAAACUGUUCGCUACAUGGAUUAAACUCGGAACAUAACAUAACUUUUAGCCCAAAUUUGCGACAGUGUCGACAUUGCCCAUACAGUGAUAGAAAAGGUUAACAAGAAUUUCAAAUUUUCAGCAAUGUCCAGUUUCUAUGGGCAAUAAAGUUAAUGUCCAGCAAUUGUCGACAAUGACGAACUCAACAGGCCAUUGUUGAUAUUUACCGGUUAAUAACGUUGUUGACCGGAUUGUCGUAAUUGUCCGUAACAUAAUAUACAAUGUGCAGAUUAUUCUUAAGCUCUAAAUUUACUUUUUGAAAUUUAAGAAUUGUGGAUAUUUCACGGAUAUAAAACAAUACUUUUGUAUAUUUUUAGGUGUUCAUCUGUUUUGUAUUUUUUCCCUUUUUUUACACAAAAAGUUUGUAGACAUUCCUGAGAAUUCUCAUUCGCCAUUGUCGAUAUCUUGAAGUUUAGAAUAAAACUAAAAUCAUUUUUGAUACGUU